GAUGAAGAACGCAGCGAAAUGCGAUAAGUAAUGUGAAUUGCAGAAUUCAGUGAAUCAUCGAAUCUUUGAACGCACAUUGCGCCCCCUGGCAUUCCGGGGGGCACACCUGUCCGAGCGCCGUCGCAGCACUGAGGCCCAGCCUUGCGUUGGCGGUGCGGCCCGAGCCCCCUGAAAAGGUGGGGAGGCCGCCCGCCCAAACACCGACGGCGCCGCAUCGCGGCCGGCAUUGCGCAAACAGCAAAGAGCCGGUGAGACGAGACGGCCGCCAGUGAUUUUAAAACACCAGCUUGGCCUCGGAUCAGGUGGGGAUACCCGCUGAACUUAAGCAUAUCCAAUAAGCGGAGGA
rnacentral:misc_RNA from 1 species